AUAUGCUACUGUGGCGAUUCAGUCGGUGGCGGGUCAGCCUCAAUUUCAUAACAUUUUAAGGGAUUGCUGUUGGUGUUCAUCGACGGUCGUGGUGGGUCAGAGGUGCCAUGGUGAUGUGAAGAAAUAGAGAAAAAGGAAUAUAGUCAUCACUUCCUGAUACCGACGACGAUCCGUUUUCUGCAUUAGCCAGAUUGAAUGACUUCAAAGGAGUUUUAUACACAACAGUACCAAGGCCAUCGGCUACUUUUGACAUGUUCCCUUCUUGGCCUAUGAGAGUUCAUCAAACCCCAAGAUAAAAUGGUUCCAUGUACAGGUAGGUACUUGCUGAUAUGGUUCUUUUUGCUCAACCUCCAAAUCUGGUCUCAUGUAA